rnacentral:ncRNA from 15 species
UUUUAAGUGCGUUUAUUAAAUGCGUUUGUCUAAGAUAAUUAUUUAAGAUUAUUCUUGUAAAUAUAUUUAAAUAUUAAUAAUUCUUAAAAUAAAAAAAUAUCCUCAAUUGCAAUAUUAUUGUAGCAUAGUAAUUUGUUAACUAAAUAUUAAAGUGUUCCAUAGAAAAUUUUUAAAUUACAACAAAUAAAAUAAAGUAUGAAUUAAUAUCAAAAUUUUAAUAAAAAUUAAAAAAUUAAAAUAGGGCAAGUCCUACUCUCCUUUACAAAGAGAACAUUAUGAUAUGUAAUUGUAUGUUUGAUUGGGGCAAUACUAUAUUUAUUUAUAUAGCAUAAGAACUAUAUUCUUUGAAAUUAUAAAAGGUUCGAGCAGGUUAACAAGCAUUAAAAAUAAAUGUGUUUCAUCGUCUACUUAUUACCAUGAUUGAUUGUUCAUCAAAAUAGUAAUUCGUUAGUUGGGUUAAAAUCGUUGUAAAGCAGAUUUGUUUAUAUAUUUAAUUUUUAUAAUUAAUAAUAAUUAAUAUAAGUACGCAAGGAUUGAUUAUUGAAAAAAGAAAGAAGAAU